GCCUGGGUGGCUCAGUCGGUUAGGCGUCUGACUUCAGCUCAGGUCAUGAUCUCGUGGUCCGUGGGUUCGAGCCCCGCGUCGGGCU
rnacentral:tRNA from 1 species